CAACGACCCGUCAGAUGGCCUCUCCCCUUCACGGCUACUUCCACGUUCGCGAGAGCCUUCGGCGGGCUCCCGGCUGGACGAUUUCUUCGGCCCAAACUACAACCUGGAAGAGUCCAUCUGGUGGGAAAGAGAAGUGAAAGAAGACUGCCUGGAGGAACGAGCGCAGGCCUGAAAGGCAGAAGAUCACCACCGCCUAUCUGCAUUGUGGCUUUGGCCAAAAGCGCAACCUGGAAGAGUCCAUCUGGCGGGAAAGAGAAGUGAAAGAAGACUGGAGGAAAGAGCCUGGAGGAACGAGCGCAGGUCUGGAAGGCAGAAGAUCUGGU